ensembl:lncRNA
AUGUUACUGUCAAAUAAUCUUUUUUGCUACAUGGUUUUUUUUUUUUUAAUAGUGAUAGGCUUUACUCCUGUAGAAACUGAAAAGAAAAUCACUUGCUUUAGGCCAGAAAAUAAUUGCCUGGCUGAAAUAAAUGAUCAAACCUGCAAAGAACUUCAUUUUUUAGCUUCAACCAGCAUAGUUCCACAGAAUUCACAGCAAACACCUACAAAUAAAAAUUGGGAUGUGUUUUUCGUCCCUUUACUUCUACUGUUUCUUACCAACAGAGAGAAAAUCAGCCCUUGUUUUGGUGGGAAUGUCCUUGGGAGCUCAGAAACUCUCAGUCGUGAAACAACAAGCCAAGCUGUUGACAAAUGCAUGAUUUGCCCCUGCAUGAUGAACCAUGGGGCAGCUCAUGGGUUAAGCACUGCCUGCUGGCAACGGCACAGGAAGCAGCCAGAGCCACGGACAACAGCAGCCUCUUCACCUUGGACCAAGGAGUACCAUGGAGCCCAGGUGGGUCUUUUCAGUUUCAGUGAAUAUUGCUACAAUUUUUGUUGUAAGAAAUCUGUCUGCAACUAGGCCUACAUAUUUUUUUAGCAGAGACAAAUAGGACUGCAGCAAAGGACUUCCUUGCUAGAAUUUGCAACAGUUGUGCACCCAGCUUGUCUCAUUCACAAAGCACCCACUUCCAUUAACAGGGAGUGUAACAUAGUUGUGUGCCUGCAUGGUCUCUUGCUAUUUAAUCUGUCCCUGCACCUGUCAUACAGUGCAGACAGGCCUGAGUCACUUGGCUGUCAUUGCAGGACUUAAACUGUCCUGCAUACCUUGGAAUCAGAAACUCAGAGUGGUUUCAGUUUAGGAUUUGGUUCAGGCCAUUACCUACACAAACACCAGCCCUUAAAUUCACACGAUAAACUUCCUUCAACACUUGCAGGUUUGUCAGAUUGUUUGAUCCUGUUUCACAAAACCUGGAAGAAUAAGGUCAGAUAAGAAGGCAGGGAAGCGAUGACCAGCCGAAGAGACUAGGGACUGGUCAAACAACAUAAAAUGGGCAGGAAAGGGACAAUAUCCCUAGAGCAAGUUUGAAGAAAAAAAAAAAAAAAAAGUAGAAGAAAGUAGAAAUUUGGGUGCACCACUGAGUAUGAAGAAAUGGCACAAUGAUGUUUGGGUUCGAUCAGAAGAAUUAUGAUGUAAAAAAUGAAUCUGUUGGAGCAGGUCCAGAAGAAGGUCACAGAAAUGACAAGAGGGGUGAAGCAUCUCUCCUAUGAGGAAAGGAUGAGAAAGUUGGAGUUGUUCAGCCUGGAGAAGAAGGCUCUGGGAAGACCUUGUUGCAGCCUUUCAGUACCUAAAGGGGACUUAAAAGAAACAUGGGGACAGACUUUUUAAUAGGACUCGUAGCAACAGGACAAGGGGUAAUGGUUUUAAACUAAAAGAGGGUAGAGUCAGACUACAUACAAAGAUGAAUUUUUUUAUGAUGAGGGUGACAAACACUAGCCCAGGUUGCCCAGAGAGGUGAUGGAUGCCCCGUCCCUGGGAACAUUCAGGGUCGGGUUUCAUGGGGCUCUGAGUAACCUGGUCUAGUUGAAGAUGCCCCUGCUUAUUGCAGGAGAGUUGGACUAGAUGGCCUUUAAAGGUCCUUUCCAAACCAGACCAUUCUGAUUCUAGAAGGGUACCAAGCAGAAGGAGCCAUUAAAGUCAAUGGAAGAUGUUUCUAUUAAUACAAGAUAAGUAAAGGAAAAGACAAGUAUAUAUGAGGGACAAACACAAAUAUGUAUGUAUUUUUAUAAUAUAUAUGUUUAUAUAACAUAUGUUUAUAUGGUAUAUAAGUAUUUUUAUAUUUCUAUAAAGAUAACUGAAAUAUUUCCUGUUGGUUUUUAUUCCAGUCUUUAGAACCAGAAUUGUUAACCAGCAACUAACAAAAUCAUUUUUAACAAUAGGAUGGGGGCAUAGAGGAACAUAGAUCAGCAAAGGCUAACAGAUAUUUAAAAAAAAUACAUGUACUCCAGCGGAUUUAGUUACAGCAAUUUGUGAAUUAUUGCUGCUAAUGUUUCAGGAAUUAUAAUGAAUUGGGGUAAAACAGACAUAACAUUUUGUUUUGUGAAAAAGAGGAGUCAAAUUGAAUUUCUAAACUAAAGUAUUUUACAUCUAUGCACAAUCUAUUCAGUGUUUGAAACUUGCAAGUGGAUUUUUCUAACGUGAACUUCUGAGUACAAUAAUUAUUACUCUGUAUAUCUGUUUCAGUUGAAGGAAACCAUGAAAGUGUUCUGUAAAUUACAAAUAACUUUACUUUUGUCAUUAUCAGAUGACUCCUCUUAUAAAUCUAUUGUCAAAGAAGGAAGUCGGCAACAUUUUUUUUCAGAAUCCACAUAAACAAAAGACUAAUUAGUCAUCAAUGACCAAUUUUUCCUAACAUGGAUAUGCAACUAUUUGCAGUCUUGGUAAAUCAUUCCAUUUGCUCCAACUUUUGAUAUUCUGGGAAAUCCAUGUUCUUUCCAACCUUUUCAUUUCAGGUUUUUAUUACUUUGGAAUUCUUAGUUGAUGCCUGUGCAUAGGAAGGACAACUUGAGACGAAGGGCAAGGAAGGGAGGUAGGUUAAUAGGCACAGUUUGUCCAAUAUCAUAGAAUCGUGGAAUGGUUUGGAUGGAAGGGACCUUAAAGACCAUCUUGUUCUAACCCGUGGGCAGGAACACUUUCCACUGUCCCAGGUUGCUCAGAGCCCCAUCCAGCCUGGCCUUGAACACUUUUAGGGAUGGGGCAUACACAGCUUCUCUGGGCAACCUGUGCCAGUACCUCACCACCCUCACAGUAAAGAAUUUCCUUCUAACAUCUAGUCUAAAUUUUUCAGUUUGGGGCCAUUCCCCCUUAUUUUAUCACAUGUCCUACAUGCCCUUGUAAAAAGUUUCUCACCAUCUUUCUUUUAGGCUCCCUCCAGGUACUGGAAGGCAGCAAUUAGGUCACCCUGGAGCCCCCUCUUCUCCAAGCUGGAAAAAAAAACAAUUCUCUCAGCCUUUCCUCACAGGAGAGGUGCUCCAUCCCUCUAAUCAUCUUGGAAACCUUCCUCUGGGCUCACUCCAAAGGUCCAUGUCCUUCGUGUGCUGAGGACCCCAGAUCUGGAUGUAGCACUGGAGGUGGGGUCUCAACAGAGGGAAGUGAAGGGGUAGGAUCCCCUCUCUCACCCUGCUGGCCAUGCUGCUUUGGAUGCAGACCAGGAUGUGUUUGGCUCUCUGGGCUCCAAAUGUUCCUGUCCAGCCUCUCAUCCACCAGCAGCCCCAGGUCCUUCUCAGCAGGGCUGCUCUGAUCUGUUCAUCCCCACCCUCUGUUGAUACCAGAGGCUGCCCUGGCCCAGGUGCAGCACCUUGCACUUGGU